UACGUAGGUGGCAAGCGUUGUCCGGAUUUACUGGGCGUAAAGAGCGCGCAGGCGGUCGUUCAAGUCGCGUGUGAAAGCCCCCGGCUCAACUGGGGAGGGUCACGCGAUACUGAUCGACUCGAAGGCAGGAGAGGGAAGUGGAAUUCCCGGUGUAGUGGUGAAAUGCGCAGAUAUCAGGAGGAACACCGGUGGCGAAGGCGGGUCUCUGGGCCGUAACUGACGCUGAGGAGCGAAAGCGUGGGGAGCGAACAGG
rnacentral:rRNA from 1 species